rnacentral:rRNA from 1 species
AGAGUUUGAUCCUGGCUCAGAAUGAACGCUGGCGGCGUGCUUAACACAUGCAAGUCGCACGAGAACGCUUCAGCUUGCUGAAGCUAGUACAGUGGCGCACGGGUGAGUAACGCGUGGGUAAUCUACCUCCGAAUUGGGGAUAACAUUGCGAAAGCGAUGCUAAUACCGAAUAAUAUCUUUAAAGCCUCGGUUUUUUAGAUCAAAGGUGGCCUCUACAUGUAAGCUUCUGUUUGGAGAUGAGCCCGCGUACCAUUAGCUUGUUGGUAGGGUAAUGGCCUACCAAGGCAACGAUGGUUAGCUGGUCUGAGAGGAUGAUCAGCCACACUGGAACUGACACACGGUCCAGACUCCUACGGGAGGCAGCAGUGAGGAAUUUUGCGCAAUGGGGGAAACCCUGACGCAGCAACGCCGCGUGAGUGAUGAAGGCUUUCGGGUCGUAAAGCUCUGUCAAGUGGGAAGAACCCACAUGGUGUUAAUAUCACUAUGUGUUAACGGUACCACUAGAGAAGCACCGCUAACU